AGGGUUUAUUUUGGGCUUGUCCA
rnacentral:siRNA from 1 species